GCUCCUGUGGUGUAGUCCGGCCAAUCAUUCAGCCCUUUCAAGGCUGAGACCCGGGUUCGAAUCCCGGCGGGAGCG
rnacentral:tRNA from 1 species